GACGAACGCUGGCGGCGUGCUUAACACAUGCAAGUCGAACGGAAAGGCCCUGCUUUUGUGGGGUGCUCGAGUGGCGAACGGGUGAGUAACACGUGAGUAACCUGCCCUUGACUUUGGGAUAACUUCAGGAAACUGGGGCUAAUACCGGAUAGGAGCUCCUGCUGCAUGGUGGGGGUUGGAAAGUUUCGGCGGUUGGGGAUGGACUCGCGGCUUAUCAGCUUGUGGGUGGGGUAGUGGCUUACCAAGGCUUUGACGGGUAGCCGGCCUGAGAGGGUGACCGGCCACAUUGGGACUGAGAGACGGCCCAGACUCCUACGGGAGGCAGCAGUGGGGAAUAUUGCACAAUGGGCGGAAGCCUGAUGCAGCAACGCCGCGUGCGGGAUGACGGCCUUCGGGUUGUAAACCGCUUUCGCCUGUGACGAAGCGUGAGUGACGGUAAUGGGUAAAGAAGCACCGGCUAACUACGUG
rnacentral:rRNA from 1 species